rnacentral:rRNA from 1 species
CCAAUAGCGUAUAUUAAAGUUGUUGCAGUUAAAAAGCUCGUAGUUGAAUUUCGGGAUCAAUUUACUGGUCGUGCUAUUGUACGCACUGGUUUUAUUGAUUUCUACCUUCUGACGAACCAUGAUGCCAUUAAUUUGGUGUUAUGGGGAAUCAGGACUGUUACUUUGAAAAAAUUAGAGUGUUUAAAGCAGGCUCACGCUUGAAUACAUUAGCAUGGAAUAAUGAAAUAGGACGUUUGAUUCUAUUUUGUUGGUUUCUAGGAUCGACGUAAUGAUUAAUAGGGAUAGUUGGGGGCAUUAGUAUUCAAUUGUCAGAGGUGAAAUUCUUGGAUUUAUUGAAGACUAACUACUGCGAAAGCAUUUGCCAAGGAUGUUUUCAUUAAUCAAGAACGAAAGUUAGGGGAUCGAAGACGAUCAGAUACCGUCGUAGUCUUAACCAUAAACUAUGCCGACUAGGGAUCGGAUGAUGUUAAUUUUUUAAUGACUCAUUCGGCGCCUUACG